CCAGACUCCUACGGGAGGCAGCAGUGGGGAAUAUUGCACAAUGGGGGAAACCCUGAUGCAGCGACGCCGCGUGAGUGAAGAAGUAUUUCGGUAUGUAAAGCUCUAUCAGCAGGGAAGAUAAUGACGGUACCUGAGUAAGAAGCCCCGGCUAACUACGUGCCAGCAGCCGCGGUAAUACGUAGGGGGCAAGCGUUAUCCGGAUUUACUGGGUGUAAAGGGAGCGUAGACGGCAUGGCAAGUCUGAAGUGAAAGCCCGGGGCUCAACCGCGGGACUGCUUUGGAAACUGUUAAGCUGGAGUGCAGGAGAGGUAAGUGGAAUUCCUAGUGUAGCGGUGAAAUGCGUAGAUAUUAGGAGGAACACCAGUGGCGAAGGCGGCUUACUGGACAGUAACUGACGCUGAGGCGCGAAAGCGUGGGGAGCAAACAGGAUUAGAUACCCUUGUAA
rnacentral:rRNA from 1 species